UACGUAGGCAGCGAGCGUUUGUUCGGAGUUACUGGGCGUAAAGGGUGUGUAGGCGGUUGCUUAAGUUUGGUGUGAAAUCUCCCGGCUCAACUGGGAGGGUGCGCCGAAUACUGAGUGACUCGAGUGCGGGAGAGGAGAGUGGAAUUCCUGGUGUAGCGGUGAAAUGCGUAGAUAUCAGGAGGAACACCGGUGGUGUAGACGGCUCUCUGGACCGUAACUGACGCUGAGACACGAAAAGCGUGGGUAGCAAACAGG
rnacentral:rRNA from 1 species